AAGUCGUAACAAGGUUUCCGUAGGUGAACCUGCGGAAGGAUCAUUACCGAGUUGAUUCGGGCUCCGUCCCGAUCCUCCCACCCUUUGUAUACCUACCUCUGUUGCUUUGGCGGGCCGCGGUCUUCCGCGGCCGCCCCCCGAUUUUGGGGGUUGGCUAGUGCCCGCCAGAGGACUAUCAAACUCCAGUCAGUAAACGUUGCAGUCUGAAAAAAAUAUUAAAUAAACUAAAACUUUCAACAACGGAUCUCUUGGUUCUG
rnacentral:misc_RNA from 1 species